GAUGAACGCUGGCGGCGUGCCUAAUACAUGCAAGUAGAACGCUGAAGCUUGGUGCUUGCACCGAGCGGAAGAGUUGCGAACGGGUGAGUAACGCGUAGGUAACCUGCCUCUUAGCGGGGGAUAACUAUUGGAAACGAUAGCUAAUACCGCAUAAAAGUCGGCAUUGCAUGAUGUUGACUUGAAAGGUGCAACUGCAUCACUAAGAGAUGGACCUGCGUUGUAUUAGCUAGUUGGUGAGGUAACGGCUCACCAAGGCGACGAUACAUAGCCGACCUGAGAGGGUGAUCGGCCACACUGGGACUGAGACACGGCCCAGACUCCUACGGGAGGCAGCAGUAGGGAAUCUUCGGCAAUGGACGGAAGUCUGACCGAGCAACGCCGCGUGAGUGAAGAAGGUUUUCGGAUCGUAAAGCUCUGUUGUAAGAGAAGAACGAGUGUGAGAGUGGAAAGUUCACACUGUGACGGUAACUUACCAGAAAGGGACGGCUAACUACGUGCCAGCAGCCGCGGUAAUACGUAGGUCCCGAGCGUUAUCCGGAUUUAUUGGGCGUAAAGCGAGCGCAGGCGGUUAGAUAAGUCUGAAGUUAAAGGCUGUGGCUUAGCCAUAGUACGCUUUGGAAACUGUUUAACUUGAGUGCAGAAGGGGAGAGUGGAAUUCCAUGUGUAGCGGUGAAAUGCGUAGAUAUAUGGAGGAACACCGGUGGCGAAAGCGGCUCUCUGGUCUGUAACUGACGCUGAGGCUCGAAAGCGUGGGGAGCAAACAGG
rnacentral:rRNA from 1 species